UCAGCAAGCUAGGCGAGUCAACCUGCUGAAUUUAAGCAUAUAAGUAAGCGGAGGACUUGAAAGGAAACAGGAUUCCUUCAGUAACGGCGAGUGAACAGGGAGUAGCUCAGCAUGGAAAUUGGGGCUGGUAGCCUUGAGUUGUAGUCUGGAGAUGCGUUGCCAAUGGGGGUGCAGAUGUAAGCCUCUUGGAAAAGAGCACUAAUGAGGGUGACAGUCCUGUUUGCCAUCUGUCGUCUUCCAUUACGGCGUGCUUUCUACGAGUCACGUUCCUUGGGCUUGGAGCGCCAAUGUGGUGGNAAUUUUCACCCCAAGCUAAAUACAUGUUCAGGACCGACAGCAAACAAGUACC
rnacentral:rRNA from 1 species